GGGGUAACACUAGAGUGAACACUUUACAAUAAUCUAGAUUAACUGCGCUACUACCACAAAAGAGAAUUUGGUAAAAGCGAUCAACUCAUUCUUUAAGCUUGGCAUGAUUUGUAGACCAAUCACUAUUUUCCAAGAAAAUGGCAUGGAUUUUAUUACAUUUCCUUCUAACAAUAGUCUAGGUAUGAAAAAAUUUGGUAUUCCUAUCACCAAAUUUCACCCAUUGCUCUAUAGACUUCUGAUACCAUAACAUCUCCUCUUGCCUUAAAAUAGCUUUAUAAUCCCGCCUCAACUGAGCCUCAAAUCUAAUAAGAUUUGGAUUAUCAUAAGAAUCGAAACUAAGUUGCACACCACGAAUCCCGACUUCAAAUAUCUUUUUCCCUUAAAAAUAUUACCGAACACAUAUUUGUUGAACACUAUAAAAUCUUCCUUGACUUUAUCAAGCCCAUCAACAACAUCACUCACCAUAAUAGUCCAAGCCUGAUGGACCAUAUCAUAAUAAUCAGCAUAAGAGAACCAGGCAGCUUGAAAAUGGAAAGGUCGAUUAGAAAUGACCUCACUACCACAAGCACAAC
rnacentral:lncRNA from 1 species